rnacentral:rRNA from 1 species
AUUGAACGCUGGCGGCAGGCCUAACACAUGCAAGUCGAGCGGAGCGGCGGACGGGUGAGUAAUGCCUAGGAAUCUGCCUGGUAGUGGGUGAUCACGUCCGGAAACGGGCGCUAAUACCGCAUACUAUCAGAUGAGCCUACGUCGGAUGAGCUAGUGGGGGGGGUCAAGGCCUACCAAGGCGACGAUCCGUAACUGGUCUGAGAGGAUGAUCAGUCACACGGGAACGGAGACACGGUCCAGACUCCGACGGGAGGCAGCAGGGGGGAAUAUUGGACAAUGGGCGAAAGCCUGAUACAGCCAUGCCGCGUGUGUGAAGAAGGGCUUCGGAGUGUAAAGCACUGUAAGUUGGGAGGCGGUACCAACAGAAUAAGCACCGGCUAACUUCGUGCCAGCCGCCGCGGUAAUAC